rnacentral:lncRNA from 1 species
GAAGGGGCCCUGCUGAAUAGCCAGCCACCUCCUCUACUUCUCAGUGAGAAGAAAACCAAGGCGGUGGGGGACGCAAGGCGGGGCUUCCCCGGGAUCACACAGCUGAGCAGAGGCCUGGCCAGGGGUCCCUGAUCUGCUGCCUGAGUCCUGGGCCCUUCCUGCCGCCCCACGGAGAGGAGACAGCUGGGUCAGAGGCCUGGCUUGUCAACAGGAAGGGCACGUCCCUCCUCCUAAAGGCCCAGUGUAGCAAUGAGGACACUGAGGACACAGGCUCCACGGAGGGGAGGAAGCGGCUGCCUGCCGCCUGCCCGGCUGUCAGACUCUGAUCUCAAAUUGGAAUGACGCCUCUCAUCUCUGCCCUACUUUGAAUCUGAGAGGCCUCCUCCGCCCUUCAGCUGCAGCCUCGUGACCGGGAACAGAGCGGGCCCUGUGUCCUGGAGGCCUUCAUCAGGGAAGGGGGAAGCCGUCCCGGCAGGGAGUGGCAUGUAUUGAUUACCUGUGCCCCGCCCUACGCCCCAAAGCCAGACACUGUGCUUGUGAGUUGUUACUUAGGUGGCAUUCAUUCCCCACCACGUCCCUGGGCAGGAGGCAGGAUGCUCGCCUCUGUGGCAGGGGGAGGAGGAGAGCACGGGAAAUUCUGUUCGUUCUUCCAUCUGGUCUCAGAUUUUCAGCUACAUCUUGGGUCGAGUUCUUCACCUUGUUCACCUGGCCGGUGGUCCGCAGCUCACAGGAUGUCCCAGGGAUGAAGUGGGGUAAGAGGGUCAGCUCUGAGCUCAUGGAGCCAGGCCCUGCCUGCCCACCCAGCUCUAGAGGCUACAGCUGCAGUAAGAAACGAAUCUGCCAUCACCUCCUUCGCCUGGAGCCAGGCUCCCCAGCACUCUGGUCUCAGGCGCCGGCGGGCAGCAGGUGAGUGCUCUGACAGUGGCAUGAAGGUGGGACUCCUGGGUGAGCUGAUGCCACUUUGCCUUGGGCCCUCGGGUU